UCCUCUUUUCUCAUAUUAGUGGUAUAGUAUUAGACCGUUGUCUUCAGAAUGUGUUUUCCGUCUUUUAAGGAUUCAGAAAGUGAUUUGUUUAUAAUUUAUGCUUUUGGUUGGUUUAAAAUAGUUUAACUAUUUUGGUGUAGCAUAGGGAUAUUGAGUUGCCAGGUAUCAAAUUGUACACUGUGCUUGUCACAAGUUUUCAGUGAGAACUCUUCAUUAGUAUCUAAGCUGUGACUUAAAAUUUGCCAUAGGAUGGAUGAUCUCUUUACAGUCAAUCAUCCACGGCAGAUGUAAAGAUUAAAUAAUAAAAUGACAACUUCAAUUAAAUAAAAAAAUAACAAAUUAAUAAUUCAAAACUGAUUAAGCCCAAUGAAGAAGCAACUUGGGUUGGAUUUCUAUGCUUCCUUGAACUGUGUCGGUCUCCUUUACUUUUGUAUUUUGUUUUUGUUCUUAUUUAGUUUCUCUUGAAGUUUUGAAUGGAUUAAUUAGAUAGGUGAACUGCUCAGCUGCUUCUUCAUUAAAUGAGUGUAUUAAAUAGUAUUAUGUUACCGUUGCGGAAGAUUUCAAGAAUCUUUAUUUUUUGGGCAGUGACUGCCCCGCUGCCCGUUUUCUUUAGCCUUUUCACAUCCCACUUCCUUCCCAAAUUUUAAAUACUCAAAUCAUGCUUCAUUCCAUACAUUCCUUCUUUCUUUUUUGUUUUCAUUAUUCUCUCUUCCUCCCUUCUCGUACUUCGCGGAUUCUCUUUUGGUCUCAUUUCAAUUUUUUCCUGUCAUUCUUUUAUAGCUUUGUGUACCCACGGGCAAAACACACACACAAACAUUCAACAGUAGGAAGAUAGUUUUCGUGAGAGGGAGAAACCCUUAAGUUUUUCUCUGCCGGUUCUGUUUGUUGUGAUGUUGAAAUUCCCUGCUUCAUGGGAGAGUCAUUUCAGCCGACGCCCGAAAGAAUUCAAAGACACACUAUACUGUGAUUUUCUCUGCGGUUUCUGUUUUUGGGAUUUUUGGUUUCCCUUGCUUCAUCAGUUAUGAAUCUUUGCUUCAACAUUGUCUUUUCCGUUUCUCUUUUAAUUUAAGAACUAUGCUAUUGUACUGGUAUUUCUUGGUUUAUUUUAUGGCUUUUGGUUUUCAGGUUUAGAAAUCAGCAGUAAAAAAAGUCUGUUAAUUACUUAAAUGGGAAGCAAAAAAUCUGAAAUUGUACUCCCGUUGGCAGUAAAUGACCAGCUUAUUCCCAUAUUCUGUCCUAUUUUUCCUAUAUUUCUAAUGUUCCUUUCUCCCUUUUUAGCUACUUUUUUUCCCUUCUUUACAAAUAUUUUCCUUCUCUCUUGUUUUUUCUUCUCUCAGCCUCUUUUCCUGUGUUUCUUCAAUCUAUAGCUCUCCCGUUCAUUCGCCCUCUCUCUCGAUAUCCUUUCAAUUUUUUCCUUAAUUUUUUAGGUUCGGGUUACCAAAUUCUGUUUUUUGUUUUUUGCUGUUUCUUUUCUUUUUGUAAUUUUUGAAACCCCCUACAUCAUCAUUGGAGAUUGAUUUCAGGUAUGCAUAUAAUUAAACUCUCUCUUUCCUCAUUAUCUCUGUUUUUAGUUGCAGAUAUAUGCUUAUUUUUACUAAUAUUUUCAUUGUGUUUUUUUCAGGGAUUUUGUUUUUUUAACAAUAAUAGUUUUUUACCAAUGUGAGUAAGUUUAGGUUUUAUUAUCUAUUAAAUAUAUAUGAAACUAAUUGACCCGACGUACAUAAAACAAAUCAAUGUAGUCCGAUGUUCUGCCUUGGAAAGAUGAAAAUGUACAAUUGGUAGCACUGUUAUAUUCCCUCCCUAUAAAUUACAAAACCAAUUACUGUACCCCUCUAAAUAUUUUAUCUUACAGGUAAAAAUAAAAUAAAAAUAUUAUAAUAUUGUAAUGCUAAAAAGGAAAAGAACAGGCUUGAAUUCAUGACUCAGUGGAAGCUUCUUCUUCCCAAUGAAAGAGUCGACAUUUCAGGUAUGAAUAUUUAGUUUUCCUCUGUUUUUGCCUUUUCAUGUCUUUUUUUGUUUCAUAUCUAUGCUUCUCUACUUGUAUUAUGUACACGCUUCUUUACAUGUUUUUUUGGUUUUCAAGAUUGAUUGAUUCCACUCAUCUUGUAAUAUAUAUAUUAAUUCGAAAUCUAAAACUGCUUUUAUGCUUUUUGAA